GAGCAAAUUUUAAAUGAUGUAAACACAAAUAGAGUUCCAAACCUAGAAAGUUUAAGCGGAUUAGUAACAAGAUCAAAGGCAAAGAAGCUUAAAGAGUUGCUGAAAGUUUUCACUUAAAAACAAGUGGAUCAUAGGCUGACCAAGUGUGGAAAGUUCAAAUAUGAGCUUUUUGAAUGGCCCAAAUUCGUAACUUUAAUUGGAUUCAAGUGAUUUGGGAUAAUUUGGGCUUAUUUGAGUCAUAUUGGUAAUGGGUGAAUAAGCCUUGUGUAUGGGCUAUAUUAGUUGAGUUAUUUUAAGUAUUUUGAAU
rnacentral:lncRNA from 1 species